GCCGCAGCUCAGGCCCGAGAUCACCCAGCCUCUCUCCCAAAGAGGGUGUCGCAGGUUCGAAUCCUGCCGGGGGUACCA
rnacentral:tRNA from 1 species